rfam:Bacillus sp. MRMR6 scaffold_0, whole genome shotgun sequence.
UAUGCCUUUAAAACAGUCCUGUGAGGCUGAGAAGGAAACGGUUUGAAUUGGGUUCUCUAUCUACCCAUUUCUUAAUGCUGUACGUCUACCUCUCAACCCACAAGGUGAGAGGUUUUUUAU